rnacentral:rRNA from 1 species
AGCUUGCUUCUCUUGAGAGCGGCGGACGGGUGAGUAAUGCCUAGGAAUCUGCCUGGUAGUGGGGGAUAACGUUCGGAAACGGACGCUAAUACCGCAUACGUCCUACGGGAGAAAGCAGGGGACCUUCGGGCCUUGCGCUAUCAGAUGAGCCUAGGUCGGAUUAGCUAGUUGGUGGGGUAAUGGCUCACCAAGGCGACGAUCCGUAACUGGUCUGAGAGGAUGAUCAGUCACACUGGAACUGAGACACGGUCCAGACUCCUACGGGAGGCAGCAGUGGGGAAUAUUGGACAAUGGGCGAAAGCCUGAUCCAGCCAUGCCGCGUGUGUGAAGAAGGUCUUCGGAUUGUAAAGCACUUUAAGUUGGGAGGAAGGGUUGUAGAUUAAUACUCUGCAAUUUUGACGUUACCGACAGAAUAAGCAC